rnacentral:lncRNA from 1 species
AUUGAUUUAAUUAAUAAAGUAGAAUAAUAAUAAAAAAAUACUUAAAGAUCAUUUUCUUUAGGAAAAGUAGCUAAUUUUCUAAUUUAAAACCAAGUUCAGUUACGUAAAUAUAUUAAUGCAGUAGAUCAAUCCAUUAACAAAAUAGAACUUAAGUCCAAGACUUAAAAUCCAACAUCAUUUCCCUUUAAUUAAAACAAGGCUAAACUUAAGCCCAUUUAUGCAAAUAGCCCAACACCCAUUCUUCUCCAUUAAAUUUCGCUAUCUCUCUCUAAUUCACUACACACACACGCACACCCUCACAAACAUACAACUCACGCCUCUUCCCUCUCAGCCGCUCUCUCUCUCUUCUCUCCACCCCUCUCUCUCCCUCUCGGCCUCCUACCACCGCGCCACCAGACGGCCGCCACCGCGACGGACAGCAGCACAGCCCAACGCUUCUCCCUCCGCCCUGACCGGAAAUACUCAGCAGCGGCAGAGACCACGGUGCCGCUGCCCCUGUUUCCUCUCGCCGUACGCCGCCCUCUCUCCCUUUCCAGAUCCGGCCAGACAACCAUCUGACGCCGCCCCCUGCUCCGGCGGGUAGCUCCUCAUCCCACUUCAUCCCAACUCCCUUUAUCAAUAUAGGUUUCUAAAUCUAAAUUUGUUUUCUGUAAAAUCAAUGAAUAUGUAUUCCUUUUCGAUUUCUUAUGAAUUACAAACACUAGAUCUAAUGAUGUGUGUAUGCAUGUUUGGAUUUAUAAAAAUAAGAAUUUUGUGGGAGUUUGGUUGUUUUCUGUAAAUUGAAAGAAAGCAGAGAUCUUUGCAUAUGAAAAUAAAACUAUACAAGUUUAUGAGAAUUACCGAUUGAUGAUGUGCAGUGAGAAAUGGCAGAUUGAAUUAUUUUGUGAAAAGAGCAAAUGGAGAAAUCUGUUGAUGGUUUAUGAUUUGAAACUGAUGGAAUGAGAAUGAUACAAUGAGGUUUAAAUAGAUUGAAUUACUUGUUUGAACAUAAACGUGUGAAAGAGAUCAAUCAAAGUUUGCUGCUUCAAAAUUUGCUGCUGUGGAAAUCAAAUUUUACGGAAAGGCUUUUGAAUCUUCUGUUUGCUUUUGAAUUGAAGAUGUUGGGGAUUUUAGAAUUUGAGAGUAAAAUGAAUUGUGAGAGUUUAAAAUUAUUAAAAAUUGUAUUUUGUGCAAAUAUAGAAGUGAACUGUAGGAAAAUGAAAAUUUGCAGAAAUAAUAAAAUUAC